rnacentral:rRNA from 1 species
UACGUAGGGUGCGAGCGUUUGUCCGGAAUUAUUGGGCGUAAAGAGCUUGUAGGCGGUUUGUCGCGUCUGCUGUGAAAAUCCGGGGCUCAACCCCGGACUUGCAGUGGGUACGGGCAGACUAGAGUGUGGUAGGGGGAGACUGGAAUUCCUGGUGUAGCGGUGGAAUGCGCAGAUAUCAGGAGGAACACCGGUGGCGAAGGCGGGCCUUCUGGGACCGAAGUGACUCUGAGACGAGAAGCGUGGGGAGCAAACAGG